GAAAGGCCCUUCGGGGUGCUCGAGUGGCGAACGGGUGAGUAACACGUGGGUGAUCUGCCCUGCACUUUGGGAUAAGCCUGGGAAACUGGGUCUAAUACCGAAUAUGAUCGCUGGCUUCAUGGCUGGUGGUGGAAAGCUUUUGCGGUGUGGGAUGGGCCCGCGGCCUAUCAGCUUGUUGGUGGGGUAAUGGCCUACCAAGGCGACGACGGGUAGCCGGCCUGAGAGGGUGUCCGGCCACACUGGGACUGAGAUACGGCCCAGACUCCUACGGGAGGCAGCAGUGGGGAAUAUUGCACAAUGGGCGCAAGCCUGAUGCAGCGACGCCGCGUGAGGGAUGACGGCCUUCGGGUUGUAAACCUCUUUCGCCAGGGACGAAGCGCAAGUGACGGUACCUGGAGAAGAAGCACCGGCCAACUACGUGCCAGCAGCCGCGGUAAUACGUAGGGUGCGAGCGUUGUCCGGAAUUACUGGGCGUAAAGAGCUCGUAGGUGGUUUGUCGCGUUGUUCGUGAAAACUCACAGCUUAACUGUGGGCGUGCGGGCGAUACGGGCAGACUGGAGUACUGCAGGGGAGACUGGAAUUCCUGGUGUAGCGGUGGAAUGCGCAGAUAUCAGGAGGAACACCGGUGGCGAAGGCGGGUCUCUGGGCAGUAACUGACGCUGAGGAGCGAAAGCGUGGGGAGCGAACAGGAUUAGAUACCCUGGUAGUCCACGCCGUAAACGGUGGGUACUAGGUGUGGGUUUCCUUCCUUGGGAUCCGUGCCGUAGCUAACGCAUUAAGUACCCCGCCUGGGGAGUACGGCCGCAAGGCUAAAACUCAAAGGAAUUGACGGGGGCCCGCACAAGCGGCGGAGCAUGUGGAUUAAUUCGA
rnacentral:rRNA from 1 species